rnacentral:rRNA from 1 species
GUAGGGAAUAUUGCACAAUGGGCGAAAGCCUGAUGCAGCAACGCCGCGUGCGCGAUGAAGGCCUUCGGGUCGUAAAGCGCUUUUCGGGGAGAAGAGGAAGGACGGUAUCCCCGGAAGAAGGAUCGGCUAACUACGUGCCAGCAGCCGCGGUAACACGUAGGAUCCGAGCGUUAUCCGAAUUCACUGGGCGUAAAGCGCGUGCAGGCGGUACGGUAAGUUGGAUGUGAAAUCUCCUGGCUCAACUGGGAGGGGACGUUCAAUACUGUCGAACUAGAGGGCGGUAGAGGGAGGUGGAAUUCCCGGUGUAGUGGUGAAAUGCGUAGAUAUCGGGAGGAACACCAGAGGCGAAGGCGGCCUCCUGGACCGCACCUGACGCUCAGACGCGAAAGCUAGGGGAGCGAACGGGAUUAGAAACCCCAGUAGUCC